rnacentral:lncRNA from 1 species
AGAAGGAAACUGCAGGCUCUGCUGAAAAACCAUUUACUGCUGUCGGACCAACCCAUUCUUCGGCUUCUGAAGAAAAGUUCAUUGGAAGCAGAAAGAUCUCUGGUAUAACUAAAAGAGAGUACAUACUUCGGCAUAAGUCGAUUCAACUGGAGAAAAGCUAUCGUACUUGUGGAUCCAAAGGUGGCUCUAGGGCAGGAAAACUCAGUAGUUUUGGUGGUUUAGUUUAGGAUAAAAAAGUAAAGUCUGUGGCAGAUUCUACAGGUCUAAGUGUAAGAAAUGCCACCUUAAAGAUUAGCAAGGAAAUGGGAACCUGUUUGCCUCAGGACACCUUGCACAAUGAUCUUUUGAAUACAAAUGGUCUGCCUCCUACAUUCAGUCUGGAUACUGUUAAUAAUACUAUUUCGUCAAUACCUAAGACUAAUUUUGUAUCAGCAAUACCUACAAUCAGUGACCAAAAUUCACUACCAGCACCUGAUACUGAACUCUCUCUCUCACUGUCGUCAAAAAACAACAGUGUACCAAUGCCUGCCAGCUGCAGUUCUGGGGCUCCAAAUUUUGGCUAUUCUGGAUUCCCCAAUGAGAAGCCAGCAGGACAGUGGGUACCUGAAGAUAAAAAAGAUGAAAGCAUUAUGAAGCUGGCUCCAAGGGUGCGUGAAUUACAAAAUCGGAUGCAGGAAUGGACAGAAUGGGCUGAUCAGAAGGUUAUGCAGGCUGCUCGUAGAUUGAGCAAAGAUAAGGCUGAACUUAAGACACUUAAACAAGAGAAAGAAGAAGUGGAGCGCCUUAAGAAGGAGAAGCAAAGUUUGGAGGAGAACACAAUGAAAAAACUAUGCGAGAUGGAAAAUGCUUUAUGCAAGGCAAGUGGGCAGUUGGAGCGGGCUAAUGCUGCUGUCCGUAGGCUGGAGGUGGAGAAUUCAACAUUGAGACAAGAGAUGGAGGCUGCAAAAUAACAAGCAGCACAGUCCCUUAGCAUGCAUAUUGUUGUUGUAUGAGAAGGAAACUGCAGGCUCUGCUGAAAAACCAUUUACUGCUGUCGGACCAACCCAUUCUUCGGCUUCUGAAGAAAAGUUCAUUGGAAGCAGAAAGAUCUCUGGUAUAACUAAAAGAGAGUACAUACUUCGGCAUAAGUCGAUUCAACUGGAGAAAAGCUAUCGUACUUGUGGAUCCAAAGGUGGCUCUAGGGCAGGAAAACUCAGUAGUUUUGGUGGUUUAGUUUAGGAUAAAAAAGUAAAGUCUGUGGCAGAUUCUACAGGUCUAAGUGUAAGAAAUGCCACCUUAAAGAUUAGCAAGGAAAUGGGAACCUGUUUGCCUCAGGACACCUUGCACAAUGAUCUUUUGAAUACAAAUGGUCUGCCUCCUACAUUCAGUCUGGAUACUGUUAAUAAUACUAUUUCGUCAAUACCUAAGACUAAUUUUGUAU